rnacentral:rRNA from 1 species
GAUGAACGCUGGCGGCGUGCCUAAUACAUGCAAGUCGAACGCUGGAAAUCUAGCUUGCUCGAUUGAAGGAGUGGCGAACGGGUGAGUAAUACAUAAGCAACCUACCCACGAAGACUGGGAUAAUCUCUGGAAACGGGGACUAAUACCGGAUAGGUAAUCGGAAGGCAUCUUCUGAUUAUUAAAGGUUAAAAACACUGGUGGAUGGGCUUAUGGCGCAUUAGUUAGUUGGUGAGGUAACGGCCCACCAAGACGAUGAUGCGUAGCCGGCCUGAGAGGGUGAACGGCCACAUUGGGACUGAGACACGGCCCAGACUCCUACGGGAGGCAGCAGUAGGGAAUUUUCGGCAAUGGGGGAAACCCUGACCGAGCAACGCCGCGUGAGUGAUGACGGCCUUCGGGUUGUAAAGCUCUGUUGUAAGGGAAGAAAGGUAGAUAGAGAAUAUCUAAAUGACGGUACCUUACCAGAAAGCCACGGCUAACUACGUG